rnacentral:rRNA from 1 species
UACAGAGGGUGCGAGCGUUAAUCGGAAUUACUGGGCGUAAAGCGUGCGUAGUCGGUUAUUUAAGUCGGGUGUGAAAUCCCCGGGCUCAACCUGGGAAUUGCAUUCGAUACUGGAUAGCUAGAGUUCGGCAGAGGGAAGCGGAAUUUCGGGUGUAGCGGUGAAAUGCGUAGAUAUCCGAAGGAACAUCAGUGGCGAAAGCGGCUUCCUGGACCAGAACUGACGAUCAGGCACGAAAGCGUGGGGAGCAAACAGG